CUGUACCCUGUUGCUUCGGCGUGGCCACGGCCCGCCGGAGACUAACAUUUGAACGCUGUCUGAAGUUUGCAGUCUGAGUUUUUAGUUAAACAAUCGUUAAAACUUUCAACAACGGAUCUCUUGGUUCCGGCAUCGAUGAAGAACGCAGCGAAAUGCGAUAAUUAAUGUGAAUUGCAGAAUUCAGUGAAUCAUCGAGUCUUUGAACGCACAUUGCGCCCCCUGGUAUUCCGGGGGGCAUGCCUGUCCGAGCGUCAUUGCUGCCCUCAAGCACGGCUUGUGUGUUGGGCUUCCGUCCCUGGCAACGGGGACGGGCCCAAAAGGCAGUGGCGGCACCAUGUCUGGUCCUCGAGCGUAUGGGGCUUUGUCACCCGCUCCCGUAGGUCCAGCUGGCAGCUAGCCUCGCAACCAAUCUUUUUAACCAGGUUGACCUCGGAUCAGGUAGGGAUACCCGCUGAACUUAAGCAUAUCAAUAAGCGGAGGAAAUG
rnacentral:rRNA from 1 species